rnacentral:rRNA from 1 species
CAGCAGUAGGGAUCUUCCGCAAUGGACGAAAGUCUGACGGAGCAACGCCGCGUGAGUGAUGAAGGUUUUCGGAUCGUAAAACUCUGUUAUUAGGGAAGAACAAAUGUGUAAGUAACUGUGCACAUCUUGACGGUACCUAAUCAGAAAGCCACGGCUAACUACGUGCCAGCAGCCGCGGUAAUACGUAGGUGGCAAGCGUUAUCCGGAAUUAUUGGGCGUAAAGCGCGCGUAGGCGGUUUCUUAAGUCUGAUGUGAAAGCCCACGGCUCAACCGUGGAGGGUCAUUGGAAACUGGGAAACUUGAGUACAGAAGAGGAAAGUGGAAUUCCAUGUGUAGCGGUGAAAUGCGCAGAGAUAUGGAGGAACACCAGUGGCGAAGGCGACUUUCUGGUCUGUAACUGACGCUGAUGUGCGAAAGCGUGGGGAUCAAACAGGAUUAGAUACCCUGGUAGUCCACGCCGUAAACGAUGAGUGCUAAGUGUUAGGGGGUUUCCGCCCCUUAGUGCUGCAGCUAACGCAUUAAGCACUCCGCCUGGGGAGUACGACCGCAAGGUUGAAACUCAAAGGAAUUGACGGGGGCCC